CGGGGUCUUCUACGGUGUUUGCUUUUGCUUAAUGCUCCCUGCAGGCCGACAAAUAGGGCAGCUGUCAUCAUAACGUUUUCCAGUUGAAGUUUCCAGAGGAGAAAAAUAUGGAGUUAAAAAGAUUUUUAACUGGAUGCUAUAUUGCAUUGGCAUUGCUAACGUUCACUGCAUCUGCCCAAGAUACAAGUUGGAUGCAGUAGAAGAUGUGACAAUGGGGUUCAAACCGGAUCGGGGCAAAAUGAGUGCAUCGU
rnacentral:lncRNA from 1 species